rnacentral:rRNA from 1 species
AUUGAACGCUGGCGGCAGGCCUAACACAUGCAAGUCGAGCGGAGCGGCGGACGGGUGAGUAAUGCCUAGGAAUCUGCCUGGUAUUGGGGGAUAACGUCCGGAAACGGGCGCUAAUACCGCAUACUAUCAGAUGAACCUAGGUCGGAUUAGCUAGUUGGUGGGGUAAAGGCCUACCAAGGCGACGAUCCCUAGCUGGUCUGAGAGGAUGACCAGCCACACUGGAACUGAGACACGGUCCAGACUCCUACGGGAGGCAGCAGGAGGGAAUAUUGCACAAUGGGGGCAAGCCUGAUGGAGCCAUGCCGCGUGUAGGAAGAAGGCCGUCGGGUUGUAAAAUACUUUCAGCGGGGAGGCGUUACCCGCAGAAGAAGCAACGGCUAACUCCGUGCCAGCAGCCGCGGUAAUUC